UGGGGAAUUUUGGACAAUGGGCGAAAGCCUGAUCCAGCAAUGCCGCGUGUGUGAAGAAGGCCUUCGGGUUGUAAAGCACUUUUGUCCGGAAAGAAAUCCUUGGCUCUAAUACAGUCGGGGGAUGACGGUACCCGGAAGAAUAAGCACCGGGCUAACUACGUGCCAGCAGCCGCGGUAAUACGUAGGGUGCAAGCGUUAAUCGGAAUUACUGGGCGUAAAGCGUGCGCAGGCGGUUUGCUAAGACCGAUGUGAAAUCCCCGGGGCUCAACCUGGGAACUCAUUGGUGACUGGCAGGCUAGAGUAUGGCAGAGGGGGGUAGAAUUCCACGUGUAGCAGUGAAAUGCGUAGAGAUGUGGAGGAAUACCGAUGGCGAAGGCAGCCCCCUGGG
rnacentral:rRNA from 1 species